UUGAAAAUUUAACCUGCUUCACAAACAAGAAACAAACGUAACGUAUGGCUCUAAGGAAUUUUUACGUAUUAGGGCUACAUUUAAUAGCACCUUCAAAUAGAAGUUUUUGGUGGUUUUCAUUGGGUCAUUUUUCUGUUGUUCCGUUUGCAGAUACCUGACUCAAAAAUCACAGUUGAAGUACUGCCAGGGGAUUGGAUCUCAAAAUCGUGUUACAGCUUAUUGCGGAACAAGAUAUAGUAAUUUGGCUAUACAGAAAAAAGCUCAACCUGUGGCAGUUGAUGUGCAAUGCUAUUAAUACUAGCAAGUUGUGAAACUAAACUUUUAUUUCUAAUAACUAAACUUCAAAAACAUUAAACUUGGGAACUGUUA